CGCGAAUCGCCCUUCGGGGUGCACCAGGCGCGAAAACUUUACAAUGCUGGCAACAGCGAUAAGGGGACCUCGAGUGCCAGGAUACAAUCUUGGCUGUCGCGAUGCCUAAAAAGCAUUGCAUAGCAAGGGCCGGGCAAGACCGGUGCCAGCCGCCGCGGUAACACCGGCGGCUCGAGUGGUAACCGCUAUUAUUGGGUCUAAAGGGUCUGUAGCCGGCCGGAUAAGUCUUUUGGGAAAUCCAGCUGCUCAACAGUUGGGCUUUCAGAAGAUACUGUUCGGCUCGAGACCGGGAGAGGUGAGAGGUACUUCAGGGGUAGGGGUGAAAUCUUGUAAUCCUUGAAGGACCACCAGUGGCGAAGGCGUCUCACCAGAACGGAUCUGACGGCAAGGGACGAAAGCUAGGGGCACGAACCGGAUUAGAUACCCGGGUAGUCCUAGCCGUAAACGAUACUCGCUAGGUGUCAGCCACGGUGCGACCGUGGUUGGUGCCGUAGGGAAGCCGUGAAGCGAGCCACCUGGGAAGUACGGCCGCAAGGCUGAAACUUAAAGGAAUUGGCGGGGGAGCAC
rnacentral:rRNA from 1 species